UACGUACUGUGCGAACGUUAUUCGGAAUCACUGGGCUUAAAGGGUGCGUAGGCGGCUAUCUAAGUAGGGUGUGAAAGCUCUCGGCUCAACCGAGGAAUUGCGCUCUAAACUGGAUGGCUUGAGUGAGAUAGGGGUGUGCGGAACUUCCAGUGGAGCGGUGAAAUGUGUUGAUAUUGGAAGGAACACCGGUGGCGAAAGCGGCACACUGGGUCUCAACUGACGCUGAGGCACGAAAGCCAGGGGAGCGAACGGG
rnacentral:misc_RNA from 1 species